AAAAAUAAAGUUUUUCAAAUAAGAUUACACCACUACUUAUGAUUUGUGUACAAGUAAACUUGCGUAUGAUGGGAAGGAGUAGGAAAUGAGAUUUGAUUAUUUUAUUGAGCAAACCUUAGAAUGGGUGUUCUUGAAUUGAUAGAACUUGAGGAAGAAGAUGAUGAAUAGUACCUAUUGCGUGGGAAACAAAUGUGCUGAAUACUAUUCUCAAUAGUCUUGUUACCUUAUUAAUCAUCGGGUAUUGAAUUAUUAAGCAUGAGUUGUGAAAGAUCUGAUGGAAG
rnacentral:lncRNA from 1 species